GAAUCACUUGAACCCGGGAGGCAGAGGUUGCAGUGAGCUGAGAUCGCACCAGUGCACUCCAGCCUGUGCAACAGAGCGAGAUUCCCCAUCUCGAAAGAAAAGA